AGAGUUUGAUCCUGCUUCAGGAUGAACGCUAGCUACAGGCUUAACACAUGCAAGUCGCGGGGCAGCAUUUUCUUAGCUUGCUAAGAAAGAUGGCGACCGGCGCACGGGUGAGUAACGCGUAUCCAACCUUCCCAUGUCCACGNGAUAGCCCGUCGAAAGGCGGAUUAAUACCGUAUGAGGUCACAUGCGGGCAUCUAAUUGUGACGAAAGGUUUUGCGGACAUGGAUGGGGAUGCGUCCGAUUAGCUAGUUGGCGGGGUAACGGCCCACCAAGGCGACGAUCGGUAGGGGUUCUGAGAGGAAGGUCCCCCACAUUGGAACUGAGACACGGUCCAAACUCCUACGGGAGGCAGCAGUGAGGAAUAUUGGUCAAUGGACGCAAGUCUGAACCAGCCAAGUAGCGUGCAGGAUGACGGCCCUAUGGGUUGUAAACUGCUUUUAUGCGGGGAUAAAGUGUGCCAUGUAUGGCAUUUUGUAGGUACCGCAUGAAUAAGGACCGGCUAAUUCCGUGCCAGCAGCCGCGGUAAUACGGAAGGUCCGGGCGUUAUCCGGAUUUAUUGGGUUUAAAGGGAGCGUAGGCCGUCGUUUAAGCGUGUUGUGAAAUGCCGCGGCUCAACCGUGGCACUGCAGCGCGAACUGGAUGACUUGAGUUCGCGGGAGGUAGGCGGAAUUCGUGGUGUAGCGGUGAAAUGCUUAGAUAUCACGAAGAACUCCGAUUGCGAAGGCAGCUUACGGGAGCGUUACUGACGCUGAAGCUCGAAAGUGCGGGUAUCGAACAGGAUUAGAUACCCUGGUAGUCCGCACGGUAAACGAUGGAUGCCCGCUGUUGCCCCACCUGAGCAGCGGCCAAGCGAAAGCAU
rnacentral:rRNA from 1 species